GAUGAACGCUGACAGAAUGCUUAACACAUGCAAGUCAACUUGAACUUCGGUUUGGGUGGCGGACGGGUGAGUAACGCGUAAAGAACUUGCCUCACAGCUAGGGACAACAUUUGGAAACGAAUGCUAAUACCUGAUAUUAUGAUUAUAUGGCAUCGUAUAAUUAUGAAAGCUAUAUGCGCUGUGAGAGAGCUUUGCGUCCCAUUAGCUAGUUGGAGAGGUAACAGCUCACCAAGGCGAUGAUGGGUAGCCGGCCAGAGAGGGUGAUCGGCCACAAGGGGACUGAGACACGGCCCUUACUCCUACGGGAGGCAACAGUGGGGAAUAUUGGACAAUGGACCGAGAGUCUGAUCCAGCAAUUCUGUGUGCACGAUGAAGUUUUUCGGAAUGUAAAGUGCUUUCAGUUGGGAAGAAAAAAAUGACGGUACCAACAGAAGAAGUGACGGCUAAAUACGUG
rnacentral:rRNA from 1 species